rnacentral:rRNA from 1 species
AAUGAACGCUGGCGGCAUGCCUAACACAUGCAAGUCGAACGAGACCUUCGGGUCUAGUGGCGCACGGGUGCGUAACGCGUGGGAACCUGCCCUUAGGUUCGGAAUAACUCCCCGAAAGGGGUGCUAAUACCGGAUAAUGUCUUCGGACCAAAGAUUUAUCGCCUUUGGAUGGGCCCGCGUUGGAUUAGCUAGUUGGUAGGGUAAAAGCCUACCAAGGCGACGAUCCAUAGCUGGUCUGAGAGGAUGAUCAGCCACACUGGGACUGAGACACGGCCCAGACUCCUACGGGAGGCAGCAGUGGGGAAUAUUGGACAAUGGGCGAAAGCCUGAUCCAGCAAUGCCGCGCGAGUGAUGAAGGCCUUAGGGUUGUAAAGCUCUUUUACCCGGGAUGAUAAUGACAGUACCGGGAGAAUAAGCUCCGGCUAACUCCGUG